GUUUUGAAUGUACUAUAUUUCAAACAGCCUACUAUUGAAGACGGUUGUGUGGAACACCUCCCAGGACCCAGAUGUGCCAACACAUAAUAGGAUGAGAUUCAUCCCCAGCUCCAGCAGUGCUGAUAUCAGCGGUCAGAGGAAAAUAAGAAGAAAAAAAACACCCUCCACAAAAUCUUUAGUCAACUUUUAUUUGUCUGUUCAUCAGCUAAAGAGGUACUGCAAAGGGGAUAGUGUAAAAAGCUGCAGCGUCCACCAUAUGUGAUACAAGCAGGAUACCCUCAAGUAAAGAUUGUCCACAAUUUCACAUUAUUAAAGUCAUGUAGUUAAAAUCAUUUGACAGUUUAAUCAAGGUCUAAGCCAUGCAAAACUAUUACAUUCAGCGAACUGGAAGCAUUGAGCUGUAGGCCUAUUCAGAGGCACAUUCAUAAACCGACUCAAGACUAAAAGGAACAUAUUCUGUCGCAACAAGCACAUUGGAUGUAAUUAUUUAUUACUGAUAUUAUUGCUGACUGUUAUUUUACCAGUAAAGAAUCAUGGACUGGCCCAGAUGGCGUCUGUCACUGUACAUGAAGCCUAAUUGGCCUUUAAGAACCUGGUCCCUGGCAAUGUCUGUCUGAUGUGCUUUUGGUAUGUUAUUAAAACGACAUGAGAAAAGA